UGUCAUGUUGUCAUGUGUGCGCGAUCACUCAUAGGCGUUGGCUGAACCUGUCCUCUUGGGGGAAAAGAAACAAGACUAGUCGAAAAUCUAGUCGAUUCUUAGGCGAUUUUUCGAAUUUGGUUCAUAGGCACGUUUUAUCCUGGUUUAACCACCGAUUGGCAAACUUUUAGCGAAAAAUGGAAGUGAAAGAUAAAUCUGCAAUUGUAACUGGAGGAGCAAGUGGAAUAGGAUUCUCCGUUGUUCAAGAAUUAUUGCGAAAAGGAGUGAAGCUUGUCAUCAUUCUGGAUCUGGACAAAUCAAAGGGAGAAGUAGCUGUGGAAAGUCUAACAAAGGAUUUUGGUGAAAACAGAAGCAUAUUUUUUGUUUGUGAUGUAUCCAAAACUGAGGAAUUCACUGAAAUCUUCAAAAAAAUUAUGGACCUGUAUGAACGAGUGGACAUUCUGAUUAAUAACGCUGGAAUUGGCGAUGAGACUAAAUGGGAACUCAUGAUUGAUAUAAAUUACAAAGCAAUGGUGUGUGGAACUUUUUUAUUUAUGGAACAUAUGGGAAAACAUAAAGGUGGUCAAGGUGGAACUAUAUUGAAUAUUUCUUCAACUGCUGGUGUAGCACCUCUGCAUGUAUUUCCAGUGUAUGCUGGUACAAAACAUGCAGUAGUUGGUUUUAGUCUUUCUCUAAAGGAAUCUUAUGAAGAAACUGGGGUUCGCAUUUUAGUAAUGUGCCCUGGUUGUACGAUCACAUGGAUGACUAGAGAUUUAUCUAAUAAUUAUCUUGAAUCAGUCUACAAAAAUAGUCCUUUUAAGAUGAUAAUGCAAAGAGUUGAACAUGUUGCUGAAUAUGUGGUGAAAUUGAUUGAGAAAGGAAAAAAUGGAGCAGUGUGGGUAGUUGAGAACAACGAACCAGCAUUUACUUUCAAAAAUCCUCAUUACUUAGAAAACCGAGUACCAAUUGAUUGAAAGUUAUAAAAGUAAUAAUGAAAAAAUAAUAAUAAACCAAGAAAACCAUUCCAUGUAAAAAAGUCGUCAAGUAGCUAUACAUGAAUUUUAAAACUUUAUGUUAAAGAUUCUUAAAGAAGAUUGUUCACAAUAUUAUUCUGUGAGUUUCAAUGAUAAUUCUUGAAAACUAGAAAAAUUUCACAGACCCUAUAAAUUAAAAAAAAGCUUUAGAAACAGUUGACUGUAGAUUACAAUUUCAUUCCAAUGUUGUCAGCGUAACUUAUUACUGUUGGUGGAUUUGUUAUUAU